GACAGAGGGGGCAAGCGUUGCUCGGAAUUACUGGGCGUAAAGAGCUCGUAGGCGGUCUGUCGCGUCUGCUGUGAAAAUCCAGGGCUCAACCCUGGACCUGCAGUGGGUACGGGCAGACUAGAGUGCGGUAGGGGAGAUCGGAAUUCCUGGUGUAGCGGUGAAAUGCGCAGAUAUCAGGAGGAACACCGGUGGCGAAGGCGCCGCUCUGGGCCGAAACUGACGCUGAGGAGCGAAAGCAUGGGUAGCAAACAGG
rnacentral:rRNA from 1 species